GGCGAACGCUGGCGGCGUGCCUAAUACAUGCAAGUCGAGCGCAGGAAAUCGACGGAACCCUUCGGGGGGAAGUCGACGGAAUGAGCGGCGGACGGGUGAGUAACACGUAAAGAACCUGCCCUCAGGUCUGGGAUAACCACGAGAAAUCGGGGCUAAUACCGGAUGGGUCAUCGGACCGCAUGGUCCGAGGAUGAAAGGCGCUCCGGCGUCGCCUGGGGAUGGCUUUGCGGUGCAUUAGCUAGUUGGUGGGGUAAUGGCCCACCAAGGCGACGAUGCAUAGCCGACCUGGGAGGGUGAUCGGCCACACUGGGACUAGGACACGGCCCAGACUCCUACGGGAGGCAGCAGUAGGGAAUCUUCCACAAUGGACGAAAGUCUGAUGGAGCAACGCCGCGUGAACGAUGAAGGCCUUCGGGUCGUAAAGUUCUGUUGUAAGGGAAGAACAAGUGCCGCAGGCAAUGGCGGCACCUUGACGGUACCUUGCGAGAAAGCCACGGCUAACUACGUGCCAGCCGCCGCGGUAACAC
rnacentral:rRNA from 1 species